rnacentral:rRNA from 1 species
UACGGGGGGCGCAAGCGUUGUUCGGAUUUACUGGGCGUAAAGGGCGCGUAGGCGGUCAGCACAAGUCAGUUGUGAAAUCUCCGGGCUUAACUCGGAAAGGUCAACUGAUACUGUGCGACUAGAGUGCAGAAGGGGCAACUGGAAUUCUCGGUGUAGCGGUGAAAUGCGUAGAUAUCGAGAGGAACACCUGCGGCGAAAGCGGGUUGCUGGGCUGACACUGACGCUGAUGCGCGAAAGCCAGGGGAGCGAACGGG